rnacentral:rRNA from 1 species
CACGUAGGGUGCGAGCGUUGUCCGGAAUUAUUGGGCGUAAAGAGCUCGUAGGCGGUGUGUCGCGUCGGCCGUGAAAACCUGCAGCUUAACUGUGGGCUUGCGGUCGAUACGGGCAGACUGGAGUACUGCAGGGGAGACUGGAAUUCCUGGUGUAGCGGUGGAAUGCGCAGAUAUCAGGAGGAACACCGGUGGCGAAGGCGGGUCUCUGGGCCGUAACUGACGCUGAGGAGCGAAAGCAUGGGGAGCGAACAGG